GUGGCGGUCACAGCGAUCCCGGAACAAUGGUGCCUCGGGGAGGGAGGCGCGGGCCAGCUACCGCGCUCUGUCUGGCCACCGCCACCCAGCUCCUCUCCCGGGACCCCUCGGCCGGGGCCGGGAUCUAGCCACACCUUCCCCGGCGUCUGAGGGCGAGUCAGAGGCGAGAAGCCCUUCAGAUGCGAGUUCGAGGGCUGCGAGCGGCGCUUCGCCAACAGCAGCGACCGUAAGAAGCAUUCGCACGUGCACACUAGCGACAAGCCAUACACGUGCAAGGUGCGGGGCUGCGACAAGUGCUACACGCACCCCAGCUCGCUGCGUAAGCACAUGAAGGUGCACGGGCGCUCGCCGCCGCCCAGCUCUGGCUACGAUUCGGCUACACCGUCUGCCCUCGUGUCGCCCUCGUCGGACUGUGGCCACGAGUCCCAGGUGGCCUCCUCGGCGGCGGUGGCGGCGCGUAGCGCCGACUUGAGCGAAUGAUGUCCACCGCGUUGCUCGCAAGGUAAUCUCGCUCCGCGCAGCUGAGCGCCCCGCAUCUCGCGCCUGCUACAUCAAAGGGCCCGCGCACAAAGCAGUGUUUCUUCGCCACGGUGCAUC
rnacentral:sRNA from 1 species